rnacentral:rRNA from 1 species
GAUGAACGCUGGCGGCGUGCCUAAUACAUGCAAGUCGAGCGAACGGACGAGAAGCUUGCUUCUCUGAUGUUAGCGGCGGACGGGUGAGUAACACGUGGAUAACCUACCUAUAAGACUGGGAUAACUUCGGGAAACCGGAGCUAAUACCGGAUAAUAUUUUGAACCGCAUGGUUCAAAAGUGAAAGACGGUCUUGCUGUCACUUAUAGAUGGAUCCGCGCUGCAUUAGCUAGUUGGUAAGGUAACGGCUUACCAAGGCAACGAUGCAUAGCCGACCUGAGAGGGUGAUCGGCCACACUGGAACUGAGACAGGGUCGGGGCUACUGCGGGAGGCAGAAGUAGGGAAUCUUCCGCAAUGGGCAAAAGCCUGACGGAGCAACGCCGCGGGAGUGAUGAAGGUCUUCGGAUCGUAAAACUCUUUUAUUAGGGAAAAACAUAUGUGUAAGUAACUGUGCCCCUCUUGACGGUCCCUAAUAAGAAAACCACGGCUACCUACGUG